GGCACAAGACAACCUGACAUUUCAGGAGAUGGUCUGUCAGAAUUGGAUCUCUGAGUGGGGUGGCUCUUGAUAGGGAUCCCUGUUAACUGUGACUAGAAUCCUGAGAAGAGAAAAACCUUCCUGAAAUGGGCAUAUCCCUGGCUGGCCUGGAACCAACCUUUCGGACUUAGGACUAUGGGAAGAAUAGGGGGAGAUUCUCUAGUGAUGAUAAUACAUGAAUGCUUUAAAAGCUAGAACAGGCGUCCCUGGGUGGUCUUGAACUACUCACCGUUCGGUUAAUAGCCGAACGCUCUGACCGAUUGCGCCACAGAGACAGGUACUAGCGAUUCCACUGGGCGCUAUAGGCAGGGCGCACUCACCGAACUCCCCAAUCCCUUCCAGCCUCAGAGCCCGCCUGGCAGGACUACUGAGCAAGGCCUUGGAAAAUCGGAGCGAUUAGAGCGGUUCAAACAAUACAGAAGUGUAUAAAGUAAGAAUUGAAAGUCUCUUCGCUGCUCUAAUCUCACUCCUCAGAGGUGAUCACUGGACCUGAGUGAGCAGAAGGCUUUUCAGAAUUACAGCCUGAACUAUUUCUUGAGCAAUUUGGGAACUCAUUUCUAAAGCAGUCCUCAGAUUCACACAACGUAGUUUGUGACGGAGUAUGCCCAGAGCAGUGUGGAAGAUGAUCAAAGUAUGACAUUUCUUCUACCCCAGAGGCUGGCAUUUCUGCAGGCACAAAUGAGCUUGGUUUUCAAGCACUGCUCUUUGAACACAAGGAAUUCCUUUAAUGAUCACGCCGGACUAUAUAGACUUUGGAAUCAGACUCUUUGAAUUCCAGCUCUGCCAUUUACCAACUUUGACACUUUGGACAACGUCUCAUUCUGUCACCCAGGCUGGAGUGCAGUGGCACAAUUAUAGCUCACUGCAGCCUCAAACACCUGGGCUCAAGCAAUCCUUCCACCUCUGCCUCCUGAGUAAUUGGGACUACAGGCAUGUGCCACCACACCCAGCUAAUUUUUAAUUUUUAAUUUUUUUGUAGAGAUGGCGGUCUUGCUAUGUCACCCAGGCUGGUCUUGAACACCUGGCCUCAAGUGAUCCUCCGGCCUUGGUCUCUCAAAGCUCUGGGAUUACAGACAUGAGCCACUGCACCCGGCUCUAUCUCCCCUUCCUAUGUGUGUUAGCUCUAGAACAAGAGAAGCCUUGUUGAGAUUCCUGGCUGCCCACCCCCCAUCACCUCUCUGACUUUGGGCAAGUUGCCUGGCCUCUCUCAGCCUUUAUUUUCUUUUUGUGAAAUGGGGAUAAUAAUAGUACUUGCCUCAUAGGCAAAAUGUUGUGAGAACUAAACGAGAAAAUGCAUGUAAAGCACUUGGCACUUAGUUCUUUUUAUGAUUAUAAUGAUAAUCAGACACAAUAAAUUAUGUCUCACAUCA
rnacentral:tRNA from 10 species